AAGGGCGCGCUCACUUCCGGUCUCUGCGCAGGGGAGGGUGCUGUUGGAGAGCUCUGAGCCCGGCCUGGAACCAUGCCUCGCAAGAUUGAGGAGAUUAAAGAUUUUCUGCUGACAGCCAGGAGGAAGGACGCAAAGUGUGAGUGCUGAGGCUGCCGUGGGUGUC